UGAUUCUAGUUUCAUUCCUAUCUCCCAAUUAUUUGUAUUGCUGGUAAUUGUUUGAUUUAUUUUUAUUUGUUGUCCACAUAUUAUUUCUCUGUGAUUUUUUUCCUCAAUUUUUAUUGAUUUUUCUGCACAACAGAUUGGGGUUUUAAUACCUUCUUCCACUCUUUAGUAUGGCUUUCACUUUGAAAGUGAUUUCCUUUAUUUAAUGUUUUGAAAUGGAGUCUUACUCUGAAACCCUGGCUGGCCUCAGAUUAAUAACAGUCUUUGAUUUAGCCUAUCAGGUGCUGUAAUUAACACCACAGCUGGUUCUGAAUAUUUUAUAUUUUAUUUUAAUGUUAGACUUAAUCAUACUUUAAUGUUUGUUGUUGUAACGGGUAGUGCUGUCCACUUUCCAGGAUAUAGAAUCAUUUGGGAGAUGGACCUCUGGGUGUGCCUGAAGGGAUCACCUUGGUUGUGUUAAUUGAUACUGGAGGACCCAUCCUACUUGCAAGUGACAUCACUUCCCGGACAGGGGUUUUUAAGACCGCUAAAAUGGACACAGUGAGUGACCUAAGCACCAGGGUGCAUUUCAACUCUGCUGUCAGACUGAAUGCAGUGUAACCAGCUGAAUCACACUCCUGACCCCUUGGCUUCCCACCCCAAUGGACCAGAAUUAACUUCCUCCCUUUAGAUGCUUUUUGUCAAGAGUAUUUAUUACAGAAAAGUAUCUAAACAUCUGAAAUUGUGCAUUUUUAUCCAUAAUAAGGAGCUUAUAAAUUUGUAUUCAUUGAAAGAAAGUAUCUUUUUAUUGAAAUUGGCUUUUUAUACUCUUGACAUAGUGGUGAUGGUCAUUGGGUUUAGUUAGUAUCCCUGUAUGGAAAAUUAAAAUUUGGUAACUCUCCAUCUGAAGAUGCCAUUCAGUGGUAAAGAGCAUUGGCUGCUCUUCCAGAGGGCCUGAGUUUGGGUUCAAGCACCAACAUUGUGUGGCUUACAACUGCCUAACUCCAGCUCCAGGGGAUCUGACCUCCUUUUCUUGCUCCACAGUCACCUGCAUAUAUGCACAGGAGCAUGAACAUAAAUACACAGAUGAAUAAUAAAACUUUGAAGAAUAAUAAAAUUUGAUGACUAUUGUCAUUGCAAUUGCAAUAUUUCCUUUAAAGAGAUUCUUGGAAUCUACAAUCAUUCCUUUAUAAAGAGUACAAAUUGAACAUCCCUAAUGCGAAAAUUUCAGCUCUAAAAUGCACAACUCUUUGAGUACUGGCAUAAUGGUCAAAAGUUUUCAGAUUUUUGAGUAUUUUAGGAUUCUUGACUUUGAGGUUAAGAAUGCUUGGCUAGUAAAUCCUAAGAAAAAUAUUUCAAAAUAAAAUUCUGCUCCUACUCAUCUCACAUGGAAUGCUCAAGCUGUACUUGGGAUGUUGUGUUCCAUCCGAGGCUGACAUUUAGCUUAAAUGUAAGUUGGCUCAGAUACGGGCCCUUUUUGUUUCCUUGGGAACUAUACAUUAAAAAAACAAACAAACAAACAAAAAAACAACACCAAACAUUGAAACAAGUCCUUAUGAGCGGCUAAAGAGGAAAAGUGUGUCAAUGUAUAUCCUGCUCGCUGUUGCAGGGUUGAUUUUGGUGGUGAAAGGAGGCUUAUGAGCAAAAUACAUACAGAUGGCUAACUUAUCCCUAGAACUCAGCGUCUAACAGAGGAUCACUCUUAAUAUGGUCAAAUAAAAUGCCUAAUAGUGUUGGAAAGUUAUAGAUAUUUCAGAAUAAGUAGCACAAGGUCCAAGAGGGCAAAGGAAGCUGUUUGACAUUAAAUAGGGUGGGCAUGUUAGGGUUCAUUGACCAGGGGGGAAUGAGCAAUGCCACGCAGUCACUGAAGGCAUUAACUGUGCAGAUCUUAGCAGAAUCCACUAAGAGUAGACAGGAUAGUCUUUACAGUAGGCCUGUGUGCCUGGCCCUCCCAUUUUGAAGUUGUGUGAGCUUAGCUUUUAAGUUUAUUAGCUUAAAAACUUAUAUUAUAGUAUGGGUUCCUCAUGUAUAAAAGUGUAACAAUGUAAGAAAAGUAUUAUUAACAUUAAGAGAUAAGUAAACGGACCCGCCCCCACUUUAUUCUCAUGUGGAACUCUGUACUUUGUUUUCACAGUAUAUGUCCCAGCUUGUAAUUAUCUGCAUUAUGGUUUGAUAAAGUUUAUCUCAUCCCUUCUGAAAUAUUGAUGGGAAGUACCGGUCAGUAUAGUACUAUUUCACUAAUAUACUCUCACAGACAGCCUUGAAACCUUUCGCCAUUUGGAGUUAUCUCUUACAGAUUUGUUGAGAGUGUUUUGUGUUUAUACAGUCUCUUUAAAUUGGGGCUUUUGACUGUAUCACAGGCAUUAGCUCAUUAGUCACCACGCAUCUCUGUGAUGAAAGCAGUAGGUGUGUCUCAUCUGCACCUUAAGAGCACUAAGGCUGCUGAAUCACAGUGACACAAAAUCAAAGCAAAUUUGGAUCACAGCUGACAUUUGGUUCAUUUUUCUGUCCACCCACUACACACAUACAAAAUUCACUUAAUAUGUGUGAAAAAAAAGCACGCGCACCAUAAAUCAUUAGAUUUAGCCUUUGGAAACUUAUGAGGAAACAUGAAAUUAAUAUUCUAGUUAUGACUUUGUUUCCAAGUUUUCUCUUAGUACUCCUCAAAAUAUCUGAGAAGAGGUGCCAAAAAAUGAUUCGUGUUUUGAGCCUUUAUUCUUAAGAACAUAGUGUCUCUGGGGCCAAAGGAGUUCUUUUUGGUGUGGCUUUGUGGAUUUCAGAUUUACUUUGAGGAUAUAUAGUCACAUGAAAUGGUAGGAGUUAGAAAAUAUGUAGCAGGAUUGGGGAUAUAGUUCAGGAGAUAGUGGAAGGGUCUUACUGUCCAUGACAAGGCCCUAGGUACAACCCCCAGCACUAGGGGAAAUGAAUAUGGCAUAAAUUUACUGUAGAUCAGGAUAAAGAACUAAAGAAUUGAAACAACCCUGUUGAUUUGUUGUGCUCAUUCCCCAUAGGACAAAACAAAAGCAUAUGCCUCCAGGAACAAAUGGAAGGCUGUUUAUUAGUCAGUUGCAACAACGUUGCUUGGCUUCUGAAUUUAGGAUAUCCUCAAGUAUGCUUUGAAAACUGACAUAAUGUGACAUAAUUUGUGUAAUAACCUCCAAAAAAUUCUGUCCCCAGAUUGUGACCUAGAUUUUGAUUUUGAUUAGUAUCUUACACAGUGUACAGAUCACUCUCUCACACCACCCCCAUCCCUGCCAAAAAAAAAAAAGAUAUAAUUUGGUAGCUUGUAUCUAAAAUAGUAAAUGUACCUU
rnacentral:lncRNA from 1 species